UACGUAGGGACCAAGCGUUGUUCGGAUUUACUGGGCGUAAAGGGCGCGUAGGCGGCCAGCACAAGUCAGUUGUGAAAUCUCCGAGCUUAACUCGGAAAGGUCAACUGAUACUGUGCGGCUAGAGUGCGGAAGGGGCAACUGGAAUUCUUGGUGUAGCGGUGAAAUGCGUAGAUAUCAGGAGGAACACCGGUGGCGAAGGCGGGUCUCUGGGCCGUAACUGACGCUGAGGAGCGAAAGCAUGGGGAGCGAACAGG
rnacentral:rRNA from 1 species